rnacentral:rRNA from 1 species
AUUGAACGCUGGCGGCAGGCUUAACACAUGCAAGUCGAGCGGGGUGAUGGUGCUUGCACUAUCACUUAGCGGCGGACGGGUGAGUAAUGCUUAGGAAUCUGCCUAUUAGUGGGGGACAACAUCUCGAAAGGGAUGCUAAUACCGCAUACGUCCUACGGGAGAAAGCAGGGGAUCACUUGUGACCUUGCGCUAAUAGAUGAGCCUAAGUCGGAUUAGCUAGUUGGUGGGGUAAAGGCCUACCAAGGUGACGAUCUGUAGCGGGUCUGAGAGGAUGAUCCGCCACACUGGGACUGAGACACGGCCCAGACUCCUACGGGAGGUAGCAGUGGGGAAUAUUGGACAAUGGGGGGAACCCUGAUCCAGCCAUGCCGCGUGUGUGAAGAAGGCCUUAUGGUUGUAAAGCACUCUAAGCGAGGAGGAGGCUCUUUUGGUUAAUACCCAAGAUGAGUGGACGUUACUCGCAGAAUAAGCACCGGCUAACUCUGUGCCAGCCGCCGCGGUAA